CGGCAGUGUCAGAUGUGUAUAAGAGACAGGUGAGUCAUCGAAUCUUUGAACGCAUAUUGCGCCCUUUGGCAUUCCGAAGGGCAUACCUGUUCGAGCGUCAUUACACCCCUCAAACUGAACUGUUUGAUGUUGGGCAACGCCUGGAGGCGUGCCUAAAAUUUAGCGAUGGUACAUUAAACCUCAAGCGCACAGAUGUCGUUAUGUGGGCAAGAUGGCACCAGUCUCUUCGUGAAUUUCUGAAUGUUGACCUCGGAUCAGGUAGGGAUACCCGCUGAACUUAAGCAUAUCAAUAAGCGGAGG
rnacentral:misc_RNA from 1 species